CAUAGUCAAUUUGAUCUUUGAAAAUUACAUUAUUUUGUAAAAAAAGCUCAAUUUAGAAAACAAAAUUUUCCAACUUAAAAGUUAAAAAACGUGUUGGUAAUUAUGGAAUAUGUUAGAGUAUCACAUAAAAAAAAAACAAUGAAAGUUUCAAGUCUUAAAUAUAAAUACUGUUAUCAUAAGGAUAUUUUUACGAAUUACAAGUAUUUCAUAAUUUAAAACUUUUGAUAAGUCAUAAAUACAUUUUCGUAAAACUUUUUUAAUUUUUUUUUUUUAAUAUUUUCUUCUUAUAUACUAGACAACUUGUGUGUAAAAUUUCAAAAAAAAAUAAAGUGGUCGCGCAACGACUUUGGAUGAUUUGAUAUGGAUUUACCCUAACGUCAUUUUAUGUCUUCAAUGCAACACGUAGCGUAGAGACUUUUGAAAACUGUCCAAAAAAAUUGGAAUCAAAAAUAUCAACACUUUGUGAUGCUGGAUUUUUAUAAAUAAGUAAUGGACAAAAUGUUAUGUUACUGCUGCAGUCAUGGUUUGAAAGAUUGGGAUGAUGAAGACGACCCAUGGGUAGAACAUGUACGUUGGUCUUCUAGCUGUACACGUAUAUUGUUAUGUAAGGGUUAGUUAUUUGUCCAAAAUAAUAAAAUAACGAAA